rnacentral:rRNA from 1 species
CAGAUUGAACGCUGGCGGCAGGCCUAACACAUGCAAGUCGAGCGGUAGAGAGAAGCUUGCUUCUCUUGAGAGCGGCGGACGGGUGAGUAAAGCCUAGGAAUCUGCCUGGUAGUGGGGGAUAACGUUCGGAAACGGACGCUAAUACCGCAUACGUCCUACGGGAGAAAGCAGGGGACCUUCGGGCCUUGCGCUAUCAGAUGAGCCUAGGUCGGAUUAGCUAGUUGGUGAGGUAAUGGCUCACCAAGGCGACGAUCCGUAACUGGUCUGAGAGGAUGAUCAGUCACACUGGAACUGAGACACGGUCCAGACUCCUACGGGAGGCAGCAGUGGGGAAUAUUGGACAAUGGGCGAAAGCCUGAUCCAGCCAUGCCGCGUGUGUGAAGAAGGUCUUCGGAUUGUAAAGCACUUUAAGUUGGGAGGAAGGGCAUUAACCUAAUACGUUAGUGUUUGACGUACCGACAG